GGAGUUGUGGCUCAGUGGUAGCGCGCUUGCCUAGCAUGCAUGAGGCACUGGGUUCGAUUCUCAGCACCA
rnacentral:tRNA from 1 species